GAAGUACAAAUCUACAUCUUUUUUAUCCUGAAACUUGGCACCUCCAUUUUAGCUCCCUGUCAAUUAUUCCUAUAAACUGACUCCUUUGCACCUGGAAGUCAGCAAAGGGGAGGCAUUUAUUGAUCAGGAGAAAUGAAAGAAUGCAGCGCUGGCGUUCAGAGUGUCCAACCUAUGCAUGGAGGCACUGAAUCUUCCUCACAGACACACUGAUAUAAUACAUCUCUAUGAGGAG